GUCACACACAGGAUCCUGUUUUCACCACUUGUCCCAGUGUGUUGAGAUCUUGGUGGAAGGAUCUGGGUGUGAGUGGGAAGGUCUCGUAACGAGGAAUGGGAGAGAUGAAGAUAGCUUUCAAGUUGGAGUCCAUGACCUCUUUAAUUUACCUAGCACCUAGCUUCAUGGCUGACAGGAAAUACGGCCUUCCCUAGAAAUCCCCAAAGAAGCGGGAAGCAAUUAGCUCAUCCGCCCACCCCCAAACAGCUGUGACGCCAGCCAACCAUCCAUUUUCCAAGGCAGCAAGUCCGCCAACAACAUAAGAACCUAACUCCCCAGGCUGUACUUACAAAUCCAGUGAGGGCUGACUCCUGUCUGGGGUGACUCUUCGCUGCUGGGCUUGAGGUUGCUGAGAAAUGAUUAAAGAUGAUUUAUUGUC
rnacentral:lncRNA from 1 species